GAGUUUGAUCCUGGGCUCAGGAUGAACGCUAGCGGCAGGCUUAAUACAUGCAAGUCGUGGGGCAGCGCAGGUAGCAAUACUGGGCGGCGACCGGCAAACGGGUGCGGAACACGUACACAACCUUCCGAGAAGUGGGGAAUAGCCCAGAGAAAUUUGGAUUAAUACCCCGUAACAUAACGAUGUGGCAUCACAUUGUUAUUAUAGCUUCGGCGCUUCUUGAUGGGUGUGCGGCUGAUUAGAUAGUUGGCGGGGUAACGGCCCACCAAGUCUACGAUCAGUAGCUGAUGUGAGAGCAUGAUCAGCCACACGGGCACUGAGACACGGGCCCGACUCCUACGGGAGGCAGCAGUAAGGAAUAUUGGUCAAUGGACGCAAGUCUGAACCAGCCAUGCCGCGUGAAGGAUUAAGGUCCUCUGGAUUGUAAACUUCUUUUAUCUGGGACGAAAAAAGGCGAUUCUUCGUCACUUGACGGUACCAGAUGAAUAAGCACCGGCUAACUCCGUGCCAGCAGCCGCGGUAAUACGGAGGGUGCAAGCGUUAUCCGGAUUCACUGGGUUUAAAGGGUGCGUAAGCGGGCACGUAAGUCNAGUGGUGA
rnacentral:rRNA from 1 species